rnacentral:lncRNA from 1 species
CUCGAGAAUGAACCCUGAAGUGAACUGUGGAUGUUGGUGAUUACAAUGUGUCAAUGUGGGUUCAUCAUGCAUAACCCAUGUGCCACACUGGUGUCAUAUCUUCAGCAGCAAUACCAGAAGCAGACAAGAACAUCAUGGCAUUGGACGCAGAACUGUCAACGAUUACAGGCUAUUCCACCAACUUUGCUUCCCUGCAGGCCACUGCUGGAGUACCCUUGAGCUAUACGAGCAACCCAAGCUAUCCCUGGGUAGGCCAUCUUGCCUUGCCAAGGUGAAGCGUUGCAUGUGAGCAAGGCACCAGCUUUGAUGCCGUGGAUACACUGGUUCUCCUCCUGAGCUGUUAUUAGAACACAACUUUGGGUAAAUUUUAACUGCCUUGGUUUCCUCACCUGCAAAUGAAGAUACUAAUACUUUGUAGAAUUGCUGUCAGAAUAGGAAAUAAAUAACUGGCACAAAAUAAACAAUCAAUGGCGUUAAUUAUUAUUACUUUUACAUGCAGACAUUGGUUAAGAAGAGCAAACUCAAAGUUUCCAGGUGUGUCACUCAAUAUAAGAAAAAAGGCCACUUAUUCAAUAAAUAUUAGUUCAUUAAAUUUAUAUUUAUACUAUAACUUACACUACUAUGAAUUAGGCCUGCAUGGAGCUUAGCUCCCAGAGAAAACUGAUUUUAUUGCAGGACUUGAGCCCAGCUGGUUUUUUUUUUUUUUUUUUUUAAAUACAGAUAAUUUCUGCACUAUGAAAUUAAUAUAUUUCAUCAUGGUAAACUUCAUUAUCUAUCAUUUUUCUUGCUUUGCAUACUUAAAAGUAGACUAUAACAUGUAAGGAAAGGAAAAUGAGUUAAACAUUUAUAAUAUAGUAUUUAUAUGCAAA